CGUAGGUGGCGAGCGUUGUCCGGAUUUACUGGGCGUAAAGGGAGCGUAGGCGGAUUUUAAGUGAGAUGUGAAAUACUCGGGCUUAACCUGAGUGCUGCAUUUCAAACUGGAAGUCUAGAGUGCAGGAGAGGAGAAGGGAAUUCCUAGUGUAGCGGUGAAAUGCGUAGAGAUUAGGAAGAACACCAGUGGCGAAGGCGCUUCUCUGGACUGUAACUGACGCUGAGGCUCGAAAGCGUGGGAGCAAACAGGAUU
rnacentral:rRNA from 1 species